AUUGAACGCUGGCGGCAGGCCUAACACAUGCAAGUCGAGCGGAGCGGCGGACGGGUGAGUAAUUCCUAGGAAUCUGCCUGGUCGUGGUGGAUAACGUCCGGAAACGGGCCCUAAUACCGCAUACUCUCAGAUGAGCCUAGGUCGGAUUAGCUUGUUGGUGGGGUAAAGGCCUACAAAGGCGACGAUCCGUAACGGGACUGAGAGGAUGAUCAGCCACACUGGAACUGAGACACGGUCCAGACUCCUACGGGAGGCAGCAGUGGGGAAUAUUGGACAAUGGGCGAAAGCCUGAUCCAGCCAUGCCGCGUGUGUGAAGAAGGUCUUCGGAUUGUAAAGCACUUUAAGUUGGGAGGCGUUACCAACAGAAUAAGCACCGGCUAACUUCGUGCCAGCAGCCGCGGUAAUUC
rnacentral:rRNA from 1 species